GACGAACCGUGCGAACGUUAUUCGGAAUCACUGGGCUUAAAGCGCGUGUAGGCGGAUGAGCACGUCUGUCGCUGAAAUCCCCCGGCUCAACCGGGGAACGGGGCGUGGAUGACGGCUUGUCUGGAGGGGCGUGAGGGGGACCUGGAACUUCCGGUGGAGCGGUGAAAUGCGUUGAGAUCGGAAGGAACGCCCGUGGCGAAAGCGGCGCACGUGGACCACAACUGACGCUGAGGCGGCGAAA
rnacentral:rRNA from 1 species